UCCCUCAGUAAGGGCGACUGAAAUGGGAAAAGCCCAGCGCAUAAGCUCGCUUUGCCCUUCACCGGGCGCGAGCGGUGUUGCGUUUCGGAGGGUCCGGCACGCCGCCUUACGACGCCUAAGUCAUGCUUGAAAGCGGCCACUACCCAUUGAGGGUGAAAGGCCCGUCUGGCGGAGCCCGUGAGGGCAUAAGUGAGGCGGUCGGAAAGGACCUUUCCGUAGAGUCGGGUUGCUUGAAAGUGCAGCCCAAAGCAGGUGGUAAA
rnacentral:rRNA from 1 species